rnacentral:rRNA from 1 species
GUUGUCCAGAAAAUGAAUCUUAGUUCAGCUUUAAAGAUACCAAAAGUCCAAAUAAACCUCACUGUAUCUUUAAAAGUUAAUCUAAAAAGGUACAGCCUUUUAGAAACGGAUACAACCUUAGCUAGAGAGUAAGAUCUAACAACACCAUAGUAGGCCUAAAAGCAGCCACCAAUUAAGAAAGCGUUAAAGCUCAACAAUAAAAACUCCAUAAAUUCCAAAAAUAGACAACCAACUCCUAACCCUAAUACUGGACUAAUCUAUUGCAAAAUAGAAGCAAUAAUGUUAAUAUGAGUAACAAGAAACACUUUCUCCUUGCAUAAGUUUAAGUCAGUAUCUGAUAAUACCCUGACCAUUAACAGCUAAUAAAAAUAACCCAGUAAUAAAUAAUUUAUUUAUUACACUGUUAAUCCAACACAGGAGUGCACCAAGGAAAGAUUAAAAGAAGUAAAAGGAACUCGGCAAACACAAACCCCGCCUGUUUACCAAAAACAUCACCUCCAGCAUCCCUAGUAUUGGAGGCACUGCCUGCCCAGUGACAACCGUUAAACGGCCGCGGUAUCCUG